GCUUCUCGGUUCCGCCAGAAGCUUCUCAUUUCUCUCUCUCUGUCUCUUCCUGUUCAUCUUCAUCUUCUCUGGUUUUCAUCUUCAAAUCUUCAUGUUUUCAUGGUAUCAGAGCGGGAAAAUCUUCCGAUCCUUCUCUGUUAUGUGUUAUCGAUACUUGCUGAAGCUUAAAAUAUAUGUACAAAGCAGCAUACUUACAAUCUAAUCUUGGGUCGGGUCAGACGGCCCAAGAGUAAAAAUAAGUUGGGCUCAGACCAAUACAUUCAUCACAGCCCACAUUACAAUGUAUACCAGGAAUAUACAAUAAAUAUACAAUGGAUACAGUCAUUUAUGCUUAGGUUUGGAGGCCACAUAAUCCUUC
rnacentral:lncRNA from 1 species